rnacentral:rRNA from 1 species
GAUGAACGCUGGCGGCGUGCCUAAUACAUGCAAGUCGAGCGAACGGACGAGAAGCUUGCUUCUCUGAUGUUAGCGGCGGACGGGUGAGUAACACGUGGAUAACCUACCUAUAAGACUGGGAUAACUUCGGGAAACCGGAGCUAAUACCGGAUGAUAUUUUGAACCGCAUGGUUCAAAAGUGAAAGACGGUCUUGCUGUCACUUAUAGAUGGAUCCGCGCUGCAUUAGCUAGUUGGUAAGGUAACGGCUUACCAAGGCAACGAUGCAUAGCCGACCUGAGAGGAUGAUCGGCCACACUGGAACUGAGACACGGUCCAGACUCCUACGGGAGGCAGCAGUAGGGAAUCUUCCGCAAUGGGCGAAAGCCUGACGGAGCAACGCCGCGUGAGUGAUGAAGGUCCUCGGAUCGUAAAACUCUGUUAUUAGGGAAGAACAUAUGUGUAAGUAACUGUGCACAUCUUGACGGUACCUAAUCAGAAAGCCACGGCUAACUACGUG